rnacentral:sRNA from 1 species
AAUGAUACUUCCCCGAAUCUUUCUGUUGAGGGGCUCGCGAAGAAGGCAAGCGAGGGAAUGCCCACCGCGUUUGAAAAAGAAUGCGGUCGGAUUUC